CCUACGGGUGGCUGCAGUGAGGAAUAUUGGUCAAUGGGCGGAAGCCUGAACCAGCCAAGUAGCGUGCAGGAUGACGGCCCUAUGGGUUGUAAACUGCUUUUAUACGGGAAUAAAGCGCCUUACGUGUAGGGCUUUGCAUGUACCGUAUGAAUAAGGACCGGCUAAUUCCGUGCCAGCAGCCGCGGUAAUACGGAAGGUCCGGGCGUUAUCCGGAUUUAUUGGGUUUAAAGGGAGCGUAGGCGGCAUGUCAAGCGUGCGGUGAAAUGUCCGGGCUCAACCCCGGCCGUGCAGCGCGAACUGGCGUGCGUGAGUCCGCGGAAAGCAGGCGGAAUUCGUGGUGUAGCGGUGAAAUGCUUAGAUA
rnacentral:rRNA from 1 species